AUCCCCCCAGGCCGCAGCG
rnacentral:misc_RNA from 1 species